CGGCACUUCAACAAAUCUUAACUAACUACAUUAUUGGGCGUCUCAGCCUUUUUGUCCGGUGUAAUGCUGACAUGGCCAGAUGGGAACCUGUACAAGACAUUCAGGAACCAGUUCCUUGCCUACUCCUUGUAUCAAAGUUUUGUUCAGUGUCUGCAGUGCUAUUAUCAGAGUGGGUGUCUGUACAGACUACGAGCUCUGGGAGAAAGACACAACAUGGAUCUGACCGUGGGUGAGAUGCACAGCAACACGCCAAGGACACGGAAUACAGACGCACUCAGUCUGACAUUUCAUAACUAAAAAUGUUUAGAAACAAUUUUGAGAACCAGUGAUGCUCCAUCAGACAUCAU